AUGAACGCUAGCUACAGGCUUAACACAUGCAAGUCGAGGGGCAUCAGGAAGAAAGCUUGCUUUCUUUGCUGGCGACCGGCGCACGGGUGAGUAACACGUAUCCAACCUGCCCUUUACUCGGGGAUAGCCUUUCGAAAGAAAGAUUAAUACCCGAUGGCAUAAUGAUUCCGCAUGGUUUCAUUAUUAAAGGAUUCCGGUAAAGGAUGGGGAUGCGUUCCAUUAGGUUGUUGGUGAGGUAACGGCUCACCAAGCCUUCGAUGGAUAGGGGUUCUGAGAGGAAGGUCCCCCACAUUGGAACUGAGACACGGUCCAAACUCCUACGGGAGGCAGCAGUGAGGAAUAUUGGUCAAUGGGCGCUAGCCUGAACCAGCCAAGUAGCGUGAAGGAUGAAGGCUCUAUGGGUCGUAAACUUCUUUUAUAUAAGAAUAAAGUGCAGUAUGUAUACUGUUUUGUAUGUAUUAUAUGAAUAAGGAUCGGCUAACUCCGUGCCAGCAGCCGCGGUAAUACGGAGGAUCCGAGCGUUAUCCGGAUUUAUUGGGUUUAAAGGGAGCGUAGGUGGACUGGUAAGUCAGUUGUGAAAGUUUGCGGCUCAACCGUAAAAUUGCAGUUGAUACUGUCAGUCUUGAGUACAGUAGAGGUGGGCGGAAUUCGUGGUGUAGCGGUGAAAUGCUUAGAUAUCACGAAGAACUCCGAUUGCGAAGGCAGCUCACUGGACUGCAACUGACACUGAUGCUCGAAAGUGUGGGUAUCAAACAGGAUUAGAUACCCUGGUAGUCCACACAGUAAACGAUGAAUACUCGCUGUUUGCGAUAUACAGUAAGCGGCCAAGCGAAAGCAUUAAGUAUUCCACCUGGGGAGUACGCCGGCAACGGUGAAACUCAAAGGAAUUGACGGGGGCCCGCACAAGCGGUGGAGCAUGUGGUUUAAUUCGAAGCAACGCGAAGAACCUUACCAAGUCUUGACAUCCCGAUGACCGGUCUGUAAUGGGACCUUCUCUUCGGAGCAUCGGUGACAGGUGGUGCAUGGUUGUCGUCAGCUCGUGCCGUGAGGUGUCGGCUUAAGUGCCAUAACGAGCGCAACCCUUAUCUUUAGUUACUAACAGGUCAUGCUGAGGACUCUAGAGAGACUGCCGUCGUAAGAUGUGAGGAAGGUGGGGAUGACGUCAAAUCAGCACGGCCCUUACGUCCGGGGCUACACACGUGUUACAAUGGGGGGUACAGAAGGCAGCUAGCGGGUGACCGUAUGCUAAUCCCAAAAUCCUCUCUCAGUUCGGAUCGAAGUCUGCAACCCGACUUCGUGAAGCUGGAUUCGCUAGUAAUCGCGCAUCAGCCACGGCGCGGUGAAUACGUUCCCGGGCCUUGUACACACCGCCCGUCAAGCCAUGGGAGCCGGGGGUACCUGAAGUACGUAACCGCAAGGAUCGUCCUAGGGUAAAACUGGUGACUGGGGCU
rnacentral:rRNA from 1 species